rnacentral:rRNA from 1 species
UGGUGUGAAUUGCAGAAUUCAGUGAAUCAUCGAAUCUUUGAACGCACCUUGCGCCCUUUGGUAUUCCGAGGGGCAUGCCUGUUUGAGUGUCAUUAAAUACCAUCAACCCUCUUUUGACUUCGGUCUCGAGAGUGGCUUGGAAGUGGAGGUCUGCUGGAGCCUAACGGAGCCAGCUCCUCUUAAAUGUAUUAGCGGAUUUCCCUUGCGGGAUCGCGUCUCCGAUGUGAUAAUUUCUACGUCGUUGACCAUCUCGGGGCUGACCUAGUCAGUUUCAAUAGGAGUCUGCUUCUAACCGUCUCUUGACUGAGACUAGCGACUUGUGCGCUAACUUUUGACUUGACCUCAAAUCAGGUAGGACUACCCGCUGAACUUAAGCAUAUCAAUAAGCGGAGGAA